rnacentral:rRNA from 1 species
AGAGUUUGAUCCUGGCUCAGAUUGAACGCUGGCGGUAUGCUUAACACAUGCAAGUCGAACGGCAGCACGAGAGAGCUUGCUCUCUUGGUGGCGAGUGGCGGACGGGUGAGUAACGCGUAAGAAUCUACCUAUUAGUGGGGGAUAACUCGGGGAAACUCGAGCUAAUACCGCAUACGCCCUAUGGGGGAAAGUGGGGGAUUUUUGGGCCUCACGCUAUUAGAUGAGCUUGCGUUGGAUUAGCUAGUUGGUAGGGUAAUGGCCUACCAAGGCGAUGAUCCAUAGCUGGUCUGAGAGGACGAUCAGCCACACUGGGACUGAGAUACGGCCCAGACUCCUAUGGGAGGCAGCAGUGGGGAAUAUUGGACAAUGGGCGUAAGCCUGAUCCAGCAAUACCGCGUGUGUGAAGAAGGCCUGCGGGUUGUAAAGCACUUUCAAUUGUGAAGAAAAGCGAGAGGUUAAUAACCUUUUGUCUUGACGUUAACUUUAGAAGAAGCACCGGUUAACUCUGUGCCAGUAGUUGUGGUAAUACAGAGGGUGCGAGCGUUAAUCGGAAUUACUGGGCGUAAAGCGUACGUAGGCGGUUUAGUAAGUCAGAUGUGAAAGCCCUGGGUUUAACCUGGGAACUGCAUUUGAAACUGCUGAACUAGAGUGUGGUAGAGGGAAGUGGAAUUCCGGGUGUAGCGGUGAAAUGCGUAGAUAUCCGGAGGAACACCAGUGGCGAAGGCGACUUCCUGGACCAACACUGACGCUGAGGUACGAAAGCGUGGGUAGUAAACAGGAUUAGAUACCCUGGUAGUCCACGCCGUAAACGAUGUCAACUAGUUGUUGGGAGCAUUUUGGCUCUUAGUAACGUAGCUGAUGCGAUAAGUUGACCGCCUGGGGAGUACGGCCGCAAGGUUAAAACUCAAAGGAAUUGACGG